AUCUUUUUUUUUUUAAUAAUUCCGUUCAACUAAUUUUCUAAAGCCAGUCAACAAUGCAAGAAAUCCUUCCAAAUGAUGUAACAAGUAGCACAUAAGUGAACAUGAUGGUCUCAAAGAGGAUACCUGUCUUAUACGGACCCGACUUUGUGCCGAGCUUUGCUAAGUCAAAUGCAUGUGAUGCAAAUAAAGCGAACAUACUAGGGAUAUCUGGCAUGAGGUUUGUUCUUCUAGGUUUAAAUCCUAUUGGAGAAGGUAUCUAGACUAGCUUACUCGAGCAGACGACUCGAGCCGAGGAGGGUCAGCGUACCGGUAGCAUUGCUUUACGACUUAGCUGGUGGUGAUCCCCGCCUAAAACAUGUGUGACUAAAAAUCCUUCACCGGGAGACAAGCACCUCGGCUAUCUCAAAGAAAGCGGGCUAUGUCAAGCAAAUGCCCAAUUUUUAUUUUCAAGAAAACUCAGAGGGAGUGCAUGAGAAGACAGUUUAUAUAUACAAUUCAACAAUAUCAAAGCGGUAAAAGCGAACAAAUAGCACAUUAGGCCCAAAUAAAUCAUAGUGUAUACAAAUAUUAAUAAAGCCAAAUAAAGUCAAUGUACAAGUUUGAAUUCUUGAGAAUCCCCAGCAGAGUCGCCAUAGCUGUCACACCCCUUUUCUACCCCACAAAAUAUAUGUGUUAUGGAUUGUUGUGGGUUAAAGAGUUUUUCCAAUUAAAGUGACAUUUUUGAAGUAAGAAUUAUUUUAUUAUUCAGAGUCGCCACUUGGAAUUUGAUUUUUGGGUGUUCCAAGUCACCUUUUAUUUGAAUCCAUAUUCAAACGAAGAUUUGACUCUUUUAUUAUUGGUCUGUGAAAAUAAAAUCCGGGUAAGGAAUUCUGUUGACCGGGGAGAAGGUGUAAGGCAUUCCCCGAGUCCAGUGGUUCUAGCACGGUCGCUUUAUUGAUUUAAACUUGGAUUAAUUAUAUGAUUUAUUACAUGUGUUAAAAACCUAUAGUGUAUUUAAUCGUUUACCACUUUUAAUUAAUUAACCGCUUUUAGUGUUUAUGAAAUUUAUUUGAACGAGUCGCGAUGUCGCGCACUCGUUAUUUUUGUACAUAUUGUGAAUCGCGUCACGUGAAACGCGCCCGCGAUUUACAACAUGUUUAUUUUUUAUUAUUAUUAUUUGAUGUUAUGAUCGGGUCACAUAAAAUGCACACCCGAAUUGGGGUUACAUAUCAUGACUAUGCCACGGAAACCGUACUCAUAGUCACGAUAAUUUAUUUAAUCUCACAUUACUAGUAAUAAAGUAGAUAAUGACCUUGUUUACAUAUUUAACAACGAUUAUAGCUAUAAUUUUUUAAUCAUUUCAGUAAUGAAACAAUUCAUCAAUUUCUCUAAAGCAAUACAUAAAAGGUCUGCAGCUUUUCAUUUAAUCACUUUGUUUAAUAACCAAAAUUCAUGCUUCAAGUAAUUGCUAAUUAACAAACCCAACUAUUUCCUUACUGGGCCAAAUCCCCUUUUAGUAUAUUACCUAUUUAAUACAACUGAAAAUCAAAACUUUUUAUUCUAAUUAAACUCAGAACUUAAAUGUUGUCCAAAUUCAUUCACAAUGAGGCAUCAUGAAUUCAUCAAGAAUGCAUUAACAUAACCCAAACAAAACACAUGGAAAAGAUUCAUGAACAAACAAAAGUUUUAGGAAAGGUAAGAAUGAACCUUUAUACUCAGCAAAUAAACUCCUUGAAUAGAUCAAAAUGCAGAGAUUCCAACGUAAUCAAAAUAUAUGAAUCCCAAGAUUACAACCCGGAUAAAGAACUCGAACAAGACCUGCGGCAGGAGCACUCGAACGGCAACCUCCACGAUUUUGAUAAAAGAAAGGAAACUGGGUUCCGUUCAGGUGAUUUUUGGACUGUUUCAUGGAGGCUUCAGGCAGGUUUCAUGGCUGCAUACGAAGAUCGAUUUUUGGAGCUCGGUUCAUGGUUGUUUUUUGGCAAAGUUUGGGGCAGGUUUCAGCGUUUUUUGGGCUGGAUUUUGCUGCCUUUUGGACUGAUUCCGUGGCUUCUAAAUAGCUGAUUUUGCAGCAGCUAUGGUGUUUUAUUGGGAUGGUUUAUGGACUGGUUUUAAGAGCUGGUUUGGAGGUAUUUUUGGGGUUACUUUCAGCUGAUUUUUCAUGCUGAUUUGGCGUGAUUUUGGGGCAAGUUCAGGAUGGUUUUAAGGGCUAAUUCAUGAAGGGGUUUAGAGAGGGUUACGCUGUGGCAUUUUGGGUUGUUCGGAAAUGUUUUGGGGGUGGUUUGAGGGCAGUUUUUGGAGUUGUUUAAAGCUGGGUUUUUGGGGGGAUUUUUAGGAUGGUUUAAUGCUGAUUU
rnacentral:lncRNA from 1 species